GGCCUUGACAGGGAAUUGAACUGGCAACCUUUUGGUUUGCAGGCCAGUGCUCAAUCCCCUGAGCUGCGCCGCCCAGGGCAAUAACUGAUGUUUUUAAAUGGACAUAGUUGGAAAAACAGUGUCUCCAUCCUGUACUUGUUUGAGGAUUCAGUGGCAUAAUUAUGUAAAAUGCCUGUCCAAUUCAGGCUGCUUCACCAUGUGACCUUGGGCGAGUUACCUACUCCCCACUUUUUGUGCCUCAGUGUCAUCAUCUGUAAAAUAGACAGAUAAGAUACUUGCCUCAAGUUUUAAUGAGGUGUGUAUAGUGUUUAAUAAAAAGCCUUUUAAAACAAGUGUUCAACAAAUUACCAUUAAUGUCAUUAGGUCACGGUAGAAGACGUCAUGGUGUUGUUACUGGGAAAAACACAGGUUUUGGUGACAGGCUUGUGACUGAAUGCUUGCUUCACCGAUUUCCGGCUGCAGACAAGUCAUCUCCCCUCUGAGCUUCAGUGUCCCCAUCUGUAGAAUGGAGCUCAUAGAUUAUGAGAGGACUCUUAAACAGUGUACUUAAAGCCCACCUCAGGGCCUGUCAUAGAAAUACUCGAAUAUUCCCAUUUCCUUUCUUUGGAUGGUGAAUAUAAAAUAUCAACAAAGUUAUUUGUCUGCCUUGUUUAUUAAGAUAAGAUUUUAAUGUAUUACAUAAAAGGUUCUUAAAACUUUAAAACUAGGAUGCACAAAUGGGUAAAAUCGCAUUCCUUGGUAAUCCUG